rnacentral:rRNA from 1 species
CUACGGGGGGCAGCAGUGAGGAAUAUUGCACAAUGGGGGGAACCCUGAUGCAGCAACGCCGCGUGGAGGAUGACGCAUUUCGGUGUGUAAACUCCUUUUAUAUGUCAAGGAAAUGACGGUAGCAUAUGAAUAAGCACCGGCUAACUCCGUGCCAGCAGCCGCGGUAAUAAGGAGGGUGCAAGCGUUACUCGGAAUCACUGGGCGUAAAGGACGCGUAGGCGGGUUGGAAAGUCAGGUGUGAAAUCCUACAGCUUAACUGUAGAACUGCACUUGAAACUUCUAAUCUAGAGUAUGGGAGGGGGAGAUGGAAUUAGUGGUGUAGGGGUAAAAUCCGUAGAUAUCACUAGGAAUACCUAAAGCGAAGGCGAUCUCCUGGAACAUUACUGACGCUAAGGCGUGAAAGCGUGGGGAGCAAACAGGAUUAGAUACCCGAGUAGUC